CAGUCGCCGCGGUAAUACGAGGGGGGCAAGCGUUGUUCGGAAUUAUUGGGCGUAAAGGGUGCGUAGGCGGUUUGGCAAGUUUGGUGUGAAAUCUUCGGGCUCAACUCGAAGUCUGCAUCGAAAACUGCCGGGCUUGAGUAUGGGAGAGGUGAGUGGAAUUUCCGGUGUAGCGGUGAAAUGCGUAGAUAUCGGAAGGAACACCUGUGGCGAAAGCGGCUCACUGGACCAUAACUGACGCUGAUGCACGAAAGCUAGGGGAGCAAACAGGAUUAGAUACCCCGGUAGUCCCUGUCUCUUAUAA
rnacentral:rRNA from 1 species